rnacentral:rRNA from 1 species
GNNUNGCGCNGCUACACAUGCAGUCGAGCGGUAGCACAGGGAGCUUGCUCCUGGGUGACGAGCGGCGGACGGGUGAGUAAUGUCUGGGAAACUGCCCGAUGGAGGGGGAUAACUACUGGAAACGGUAGCUAAUACCGCAUAACGUCUUCGGACCAAAGUGGGGGACCUUCGGGCCUCACACCAUCGGAUGUGCCCCGAUGGGAUUAGCUAGUAGGUGGGGUAAUGGCUCACCUAGGCGACAAUCCCUAGCUGGUCUGAGAGGAUGACCAGCCACACUGGAACUGAGACACGGUCCACACUCCUACGGGAGGCAGCAGUGGGGAAUAUUGCACAAUGGGCGCAAGCCUGAUGCACCCAUGCCGCGUGUGUGAAGAAAGCCUUCGGGUUGUAAAGCACUUUCAGCGAGGAGGAAGGGUUCGGUGUUAAUAGCACCGUUCAUUGACGUUACUCGCAGAAAAAACACCGGCUAACUCCGUGCCACCAGCCGCGGUAAUACGGAGGGUGCAAGCGUUAAUCGGAAUUACUGGGCGUAAAGCGCACGCAGGCGGUUUGUUAAGUCAGAUGUGAAAUCCCCGAGCUUAACUUGGGAACUGCAUUUGAGACUGGCAAGCUAGAGUCUUGUAGAGGGGGGUAGAAAUCCAGGUGUAGCGGUGAAAUGCGUAUAGAUCUGGAGGAAACCGGUGGCGAAAGCGGCCCCCUGGACAAAGACUGACGCUCACGUGCGAAAGCGUGGGGAGCAACAGGAUUAUAUACCCUGGGAGUCCACGCUGUAACGAUGUCUACUUGUAGGUUGUGCCCUUGAGGCGUGGCUUCCGGAGCUAAGCGUUAAUCGACCGCCUGGGGAGUACGGCCGCAAGGUUAAAACUCUNAUGAGUUGACGGGGGCCCGCACAAGCGGUGGAGCAUGUGAUUAUAUCGAUGCACGCGAGAACCUACUACUCUCGACAUCAC